ensembl:rRNA 5S_rRNA 5S ribosomal RNA
AGCUCCGGCCUAAUCGGCCUGAAGGCACCCGAUCUCGUCUGAUCUCGGAAGCUAAGCAGGGUCGGGCCUGGUUAGGAUCCUGGAUGGGAGACCACCUGGGAAUCCCGGGUGCUCGAGACU